UACGUAGGGUGCAAGCGUUGUCCGGAAUUAUUGGGCGUAAAGAGCUCGUAGGCGGUCUGUCGCGUCUGCUGUGAAAACUCGGGGCUUAACCCCGGGCCUGCAGUGGGUACGGGCAGACUAGAGUGCGGUAGGGGAGACUGGAAUUCUCGGUGUAGCGGUGAAAUGCGUAGAUAUCGAGAGGAACACCUGCGGCGAAGGCGGGUUGCUGGGCUGACACUGACGCUGAGGCGCGAAAGCUAGGGGAGCGAACGGG
rnacentral:rRNA from 1 species